CGUCGCCGCGGGAAUACAGAGGGUGCGAGCGUUAAUCGGAUUUACUGGGCGUAAAGCGUGCGUAGGCGGCUUUUUAAGUCGGAUGUGAAAUCCCUGAGCUUAACUUAGGAAUUGCAUUCGAUACUGGGAAGCUAGAGUAUGGGAGAGGAUGGUAGAAUUCCAGGUGUAGCGGUGAAAUGCGUAGAGAUCUGGAGGAAUACCGAUGGCGAAGGCAGCCAUCUGGCCUAAUACUGACGCUGAGGUACGAAAGCAUGGGGAGCAAACAGGAUUAGAUACCCCAGUAGUCCCUGUCUCUUAUACC
rnacentral:rRNA from 1 species